AUUGAACGCUGGCGGCAGGCUUAACACAUGCAAGUCGAACGGUAACAGGAGAAAGCUUGCUUUCUUGCUGACGAGUGGCGGACGGGUGAGUAAUGCUUGGGAAUCUGGCUUAUGGAGGGGGAUAACGACGGGAAACUGUCGCUAAUACCGCGUAGGAUCGAGAGAUGAAAGUGCGGGACCGCAAGGCCGCAUGCCAUAGGAUGAGCCCAAGUGGGAUUAGGUAGUUGGUGGGGUAAUGGCCUACCAAGCCGACGACCUCUAGCUGGUCUGAGAGGAUGACCAGCCACACCGGGACUGAGACACGGCCCGGACUCCUACGGGAGGCAGCAGUGGGGAAUAUUGCGCAAUGGGGGCAACCCUGACGCAGCCAUGCCGCGUGAAUAGAAGAAGGCCUUCGGGUUGUAAAGUUCUUUCGGUGACGAGGAAGGCGUGAUGUUUAAUAUGGCAUCACGAUUGACGUUAAUCACAGAAGAAGCACCGGCUAACUCCGUGCCAGCAGCCGCGGUAAUACGGAGGGUGCGAGCGUUAAUCGGAAUAACUGGGCGUAAAGGGCACGCAGGCGGCUAUUUAAGUGAGGUGUGAAAUCCCCGGGCUUAACCUGGGAAUUGCAUUUCAGACUGGGUAGCUAGAGUACUUUAGGGAGGGGUAGAAUUCCACGUGUAGCGGUGAAAUGCGUAAAGAUGUGGAGGAAUACCGAAGGCGUAAUGGCAGCCCCUUGGGAAUGUACUGACGCUCAUGUGCGAAAGCGUGGGGAGCAAACAGGAUUAAUACCCUGGUAGUCCACGCUGUAAACGCUGUCGAUUUGGGGAUUGGGCCUUGAGCUUGGUGCCCGAAGCUAACGUGAUAAAUCGACCGCCUGGGGAGUACGGCCCCCAAGGUUAAAACCUCAAAAUUGAAUUUGACCGGGGGGG
rnacentral:rRNA from 1 species